rnacentral:tRNA from 1 species
GCAUGGCUGGCUCAGCUGGUAGAGUAUGUGACUCUUGAUCUUGGGGUUGUGAGUUCAAACCCCACACUGGGCA